AGAAUACUGGAGUGGAUUGCCGUUUCCUUCUCCAUAUCUUUUACAGCAGGUUUAUGGACCGUCUUCUAUGACCCAAGCAUCAGGCAAAGUGCUUUAGGAGGCACAAAGAUGAAUAAGAUGUGACCCUUGUUCUCCAGGAUCCUGCCAAGUGGAUGAAGAGAAAGGACAUAUACAUAAUAAGAUAACUGAUGACCCAACUCUGCCUGUUGCUGCCAAGAUGGAUGCCAGCAAGAGGGAUUCCGGGAAGUGGACGGACUCGCGGUGUCUCCUUUCGACCUUUCCCAAGCUCUUCAGUACCAACAGAAUGUAUUCAAGUCAAUCCCCGUCGGCAUAACCAAAGUGUCACUGGGCAGAAGAACAACGUGAAGAAGAAGAAACAGCACGACAGAAAGUGAAUGGUGGCACGGAAUCAUCAUCAAGUGCUCCAGGUGGCUCCAGGGGUCCAGUGCUGAGCAUCCUUUGCAGUCUGCUAGCUGGAAUACAGAGUGGGAGUUCAGCAAGUAGCAGAGUAUUUAUUUGGUCUGAGUGCCUGAUGCAACUUUCCUCCCAAAUCCCCAUUUUCUAUCUGCCAAGAUAGGUGAUGGAGGUUUAUGGUUCAUGUUCUAUCACAUCUGCCCUGGCCAGGGACCUACAACUCUGAAUUUCUGGCCUGCUCCCUUCCAGCCAAAAGUGAAUCUAGAUUGACUUCCCAUCAGCAACAAGCACCAUCUCUGUGUCCUGUGAGAUCCUAGUUUUAGAAGAUUCGGCUUUUAUCCUUUGGAUAUCAAUCUAUGUGUAGAAGUCCUUAUUCUGUGGAAGAAGAGAGACUGAAGCAAAAAAUAAGUGAAAAUUUCUUAUCCAGGCAGAUGACAAAUAAAAUUUCAGUAUUUCUUAUAUUAAACCA